GAGGAAUAUUGGUCAAUGGACGCAAGUCUGAACCAGCCAAGUAGCGUGCAGGAUGACGGCCCUCUGGGUUGUAAACUGCUUUUAGUUGGGAAUAAAAAAGAGGACGUGUCCUCUAUUGUAUGUACCUUCAGAAAAAGGACCGGCUAAUUCCGUGCCAGCAGCCGCGGUAAUACGGAAGGUCCAGGCGUUAUCCGGAUUUAUUGGGUUUAAAGGGAGCGUAGGCGGAUUAUUAAGUCAGUGGUGAAAGACGGUGGCUCAACCAUCGUUAGCCAUUGAAACUGGUAGUCUUGAGUGCAGACAGGGAUGCUGAAACUCGUGGUGUAGCGGUGAAAUGCUUAGAUAUCACGAUGAACUCCGAUCGCGAAGGCAGGUGUCCGGGCUGCAACUGACGCUGAGGCUCGAAAGUGUGGGUAUCAAACAGGAUUAGAUACCCUGGUAGUCCACACAGUAAACGAUGUAUACUCGCGGUUUGCGAUAGACAGUAAGCCGCCAAGCGAAAGCAUUAAGUAUACCACCUGGGGAGUACGCCGGCAACGGUG
rnacentral:rRNA from 1 species